GAUGAACGCUGGCGGCGUGCCUAAUACAUGCAAGUCGAGCGAACAGACGAGGAGCUUGCUCCUCUGACGUUAGCGGCGGAAGGGUGAGUAACACGUGGAUAACCUACCUAUAAGACUGGGAUAACUUCGGGAAACCGGAGCUAAUACCGGAUAAUAUAUUGAACCGCAUGGUUCAAUAGUGAAAGACGGUUUUGCUGUCACUUAUAGAUGGAUCCGCGCCGCAUUAGCUAGUUGGUAAGGUAACGGCUUACCAAGGCAACGAUGCGUAGCCGACCUGAGAGGGUGAUCGGCCACACUGGAACUGAGACACGGUCCAGACUCCGACGGGAGGCAGCAGUAGGGAAUCUUACGCAAUGGGCGAAAGCCUGACGGAGCAACGUCGCGUGAGUGAUGAAGGUCUUCGGAUCGUAAAACUCUGUUAUUAGGGAAGAACAAAUGUGUAAGUAACUAUGCACGUCUUGACGGUACCUAAUCAGAAAGCCACGGCUAACUACGUG
rnacentral:rRNA from 1 species